rnacentral:rRNA from 1 species
GACGAACGCUGGCGGCGUGCCUAAUACAUGCAAGUCGAGCGGAAGUUGGAGAGCUUGCUCUUCAACUUUAGCGGCGGACGGGUGAGUAACACGUGGGCAACCUGCCCUGCAGAUCGGGAUAACUCCGGGAAACCGGUGCUAAUACCGAAUAGUUUUCGCCACCUCCUGGUGGCGUACGGAAAGACGGUUUCGGCUGUCACUACAGGAUGGGCCCGCGGCGCAUUAGCUAGUUGGUGGGGUAACGGCCCACCAAGGCGACGAUGCGUAGCCGACCUGAGAGGGUGAUCGGCCACACUGGGACUGAGACACGGCCCAGACUCCUACGGGAGGCAGCAGUAGGGAAUCUUCCGCAAUGGACGAAAGUCUGACGGAGCAACGCCGCGUGAGUGACGAAGGUUUUCGGAUCGUAAAACUCUGUUGUGAGGGAAGAACAAGUACCAACUAACUACUGGUACCUUGACGGUACCUCACCAGAAAGCCACGGCUAACUACGUGCCAGCAGCCGCAGUAAAAC